rnacentral:rRNA from 1 species
UACAGAGGUCUCAAGCGUUGUUCGGAUUCAUUGGGCGUAAAGGGUGUGUAGGUGGCGCCGUAAGUCGGGUGUGAAAUUUCGGAGCUUAACUCCGAAACUGCAUUCGAUACUGCGGUGCUUGAGGACUGGAGAGGAGACUGGAAUUCCUGGUGUAGCGGUGAAAUGCGCAGAUAUCAGGAGGAACACCAAUGGCGAAGGCAGCUCGCUGGGACGGUACUGACGCUGAGGCGCGAAAGCGUGGGGAGCAAACAGG